rnacentral:rRNA from 1 species
AAUUAGGGUUCGAUUCCGGAGAGGGAGCCUGAGAAACGGCUACCACAUCUAAGGAAGGCAGCAGGCGCGCAAAUUACCCAAUCCUAAUACAGGGAGGUAGUGACAAGAAAUAACAAUACAGGACUUUUUGGUUUUGUAAUUGGAAUGAGUUAAGUAUAAACCCCUUUACAAGUAUCAAUUGGAGGGCAAGUCUGGUGCCAGCAGCCGCGGUAAUUCCAGCUCCAAUAGCGUAUAUUAAAGUUGUUGCAGUUAAAAAGCUCGUAGUUGGAUUUCUGUUAAUAAUUUGUAUAAAAUAUUUUGAAUAUUUAUAUAACAUUAACAUAAUUCAUAUUACUAUAUUUUUUAGUAUAUGAAAUUUUACUUUGAGAAAAUUAGAGUGCUUAAAGCAGGCAUAUGCCUUGAAUACU